rnacentral:misc_RNA from 1 species
CGCGAAUUUACGGCAAGGAAGGUUAAAAAACGGGUUAGACUAAUGAAUGCUGACACAGCGAAUGGUGCAACUACUUCCACUGAAGGUGUUAACACCAAUGAAGUGGAGGUAGAAUCAAAUACAGUAGACUCUCUAGAAGUUUUGUCAUCCAGUGGUGGUAAUGUCAUGCAUGAAGUAGGAAGAAUCGGGGAGAUUUUAACAAGGCUUGAACUAGACUUGGCGUGUAUCUCUGAGAAACUAGUUAAUUUGGAUUUAUUUGUGAUGCAUGUGGAAACAAGAGAAAGUGACUUUGAGGCUUUUGCCUCUGAGAAGGAGGGCACUUCAAAUGACAUUGUUGAGAAGGCAAUAGAGUUUGAUCUCUUAUCUGGGGUCCUGGAUUCAGAGGUGACAGAGCUAAGCGGUUUAUUAUCUUCUGUUGCAACGGAGAUUGACAAUGUGCGGAAGGUCAUAUCUUCACGUGGCUAUGCGGAUGAGGCUUUCAUUUUGAUAGAAGAGAAGUUAUACGACAGUGAGAAAUCCCUCAAGCAGUUGCAGGACCACCUAUUGGAAUUGAGGGCGCAAUGUACCAACUUCCAUGGAAUUAUGCUCACCUCCCAGGGGGACCGAGAUUGGCAAGAUGGCGAGGCAGCAGACUAUUUUAACAGUGAUGCACUUUUAACUCCAAAGACGAAGAUAAAAAUGCAGACUGUUGAGCAGCAGAGACACAUUCUGCGGAUGCUGGAGAAGUCUUUGGCCAGAGAGUUAGAUCUUGAAAAGAAGCUUACUGAAUCUAGACAAGUUGAAGAAGAAUUAGAAGUCAGGUUGCAGCAAGAAGCUUUCUGCAUGGAGGAAGAAAUUGAAGAUGCUUCGCAAAGGUUGUUUGAGGGAGAGAAUGCUGCUGAAGUUCUUUUAGGAAUUUCAAAAUCACUACUGGGUCGACUCCAGAUGACACAUUUUAAUCUGAACGGUACUGUUCAGAAAGAAAGCUACUUACAAUCUAAACUUCAAGAAAUGGAGGAACAUUUAAAAG